rnacentral:rRNA from 1 species
AUUGAACGCUGGCGGCAGGCUUAACACAUGCAAGUCGAACGAGUGGCGGACGGGUGAGUAAUGCAUGGGAAUCUAGCUUAUGGAGGGGGAUAACUACGGGAAACGGUAGCUAAUACCGCGUACAAUAGGAUGAGCCCAAAUGGGAUUAGGUAGUUGGUGGGGUAAAGUCUCACCAAGCCGACGAACUAUAGCUGGUCUGAGAGGAUGACCAGCCAACCUGGGACUGAGACACGGCCCAGACUCCUACGGGAGGCAGCAGUGGUGAAUAUUGCGCAAUGGGGGCAACCUGACGCAGCCAUGCCGCGUGAAUGAAGAAGGCCUUCGGGUUGUAAAGUUCUUUCGGUAGCGAGGCGUUAACUACAGAAGAAGCACCGGCUAACUACGUGCCAGCAGCCGCGGUAAUUC